UCGCGAGUGCAGAAGCGGUAACGGUAAACCUACGGCCGUACAAACUACGGUCUUCCGACGUAGGCGUAGCAUUAGUGUAGUGCAGUGUAGUGUUUUGAAUUUCGGUUAAGUGAAGUGAAGACGGGGGUUGAAAAUAGCCAUAAAAUACAAAUACGAGUCGGAAAAGCGUCAAAAGCCAGUCAUAAAAUUUUACAGAGUGACUUUGCCAAAAAUAUAAAGAAAGAAAAAGAAAGUAAAAGCUUAAUACAAAAGAAAUAAAAACAAGUGCUUGGCUCAGUGGUUUCUUGUGGUGCGAAGAAAUCUCACGAAGAAAAUCCCUCCAGAGGAGAGAAAAAGGCAAAAAUCCAAUAGAAACAAGGCCCACUGUGCGUUGAGCCGCACAUAAUGGAAGUCUGAAGAAAGUGUCACUAAUUGAACGCUUAUUGUCUGGACAUUCGCAGGACAUCUGGUAAUUGAAUGGGAGUUUGCUGGACAAGAGGGACCUCCAGCUCAGCUGCCAAGUCAGAAUGUUUGAGCAUCGAUUAGUUCAGAGUUGUGGCAGUUGAGGCAUCAAGGAGAGAGCUCGAGAUCAUCCUUCCCGCCCACUCACACGCCCGAUUUCCGGUUGGUGCGAUUGCUGAGUGAGUCCCGAGUGCUCGAGUGUGCGUGGGUGUGUGUGUGCGUGCGGUGGUGCCUGUGCGCUUGGGUGUAUUGGUGGUGGUUAGCAUGCAAAUCAACGGUCUUGCUGCCGGACCAACGAUGGCAGCCUCAGAGCCACCAGAGCCGCCGCCGCGCAAUCCGGAUCGCAUAAACGCCUCGCUGCACAAGCUGGGCGAAUCCAAAAUUGUGAAAUCCUUGGACUCCUCAGUGGUCACAACAUUGAAGGAGAAGACGGGCUCGGUCAACAAUAACAAGCCCAUAAGGCCACUACUUUCGCUGGACAACUCUGUCAUUGCUUCGACCUCGGGUGGAGCAAGUGGAGGAGCUCCUGUCAAGCCGUCACCACUGGUUUUGGCCUCUAAACGAGACCUCACGCCCAGCAACGAGAGCGGCUCAUCGCCGGCCAGCUCGAAUGGCAGCAACCAGACCCUCACCCCACCCAUGACCGCUGACAAUCAGCCCCUCCAAUUGCAGCAGCAGCAGCAGCAACAGCACCACAGGUCACCUGCGUAUCCUGGGAAAGGAGAACCUGCCGCUGGGACACAUCAGCAGCAGCAUCAGCAGCAGCAGCAACAGCAUCAGCAGCAAUUACCGAAUGGCACCGGCAACACCAGCCACACAGCCAUGAUCCAUGCGAAUAACUCGAAUUUAAUUGCCGCAGGUCACUUGGCUCAGCCGGCAGGCUCCGGGUCUGCCACCGUCUCCGGGUCCGGAUCCGGACCCAGCCCCUCCAGCGCUGGUGCACUCAAUGCAGUUGACAAGCGAAAUGCCAACGAUGUGUGCUCGAUUGCCAAAUUAACGGACCCGGACGUUUUGGCCCUGAGUAUGAAUAUGGUGGGACCACCGCACUCGCCGACCUCCGCCGCCUCGGCGGCCCUGCUCCUGCUGGAGGAGUCCUGCGACGGCAAUCGCAACGACGAGUCAAGGUUCCAUGUGCCCGGAUCAGAGUCCGCCAUGAAGCUGCGCGAGGAAAACGAGCGUCUCAACUCCGAACUGCUUCGGCUAAGGCGACUCCUUGAACUUUCCACAGAUGGAGCCGUCGGUGGUGUGGAUGCCACACCUGACACGGAGGCAGGUGGAUCCGCUGAAGGAUCUGCUGUCAAGGAGCGCGUUGAACGGCUGGAGUCCGAGCUGAGAUCCGUCAAGAAUCAGCUCCUGACCAUGCGGCUGGAGCGCAAGAAACUCCGGACGGACAAGUCCGAUCUACUGGGACAGGUGAAGCAACUAUGCGCCUCGUUGCAAGAGAAGGAGCAGGAGCUGCGCGACUUCAUACGAAACUAUCAGGAGCGAGUUCGGGAAACGGAAACGACAAAUGCGAAGAUUUCCGGCGAUCGGGACCGCGAGAGAUUCCAGCUCCUGAAGCAGGCUCGGGAUGAGGCGGAGCGCUCUCUGGCUUUGGCCCAGCAACUAUCCUCCCGAGAUCUCCAGCUCCAGAGGCUGCAGGAACAGCUCCAGGAGGCUCGGCGGCAGCUGACUGGAUGCCUCUCUGACCAGGAGAGCCUCCACUCGUUCGCCCCACUGACUCCACCUUCCGCCGCAUCCGGAAUGCUCAGCCAAAUGGUGGCCGGCUCCGGAAUGGGUGGUGGCUUGGCCGGCAUUCGGGGCACCACCGAAGACAGUGGUCGUGGCAACUCGUUGUCCGCCUUUAGCGGCAGUCUGAGUGGCGGCUCCGGAGCCACGGCAGGGGAUCGGAACUCCUGUUCAAAUGACUCCGGAUUGAGGAACAGCAGCGAUCGCGAAAGCACCGGCGGGGAGUUGAAUUUCAGUGACGGAACCUGUGACAAUGGUCCCUGCAUCACGGUGGAUCCGGACAGCAUCUCGCUGGUGUCCAGCCAGAAUAUGUAUCAAUUUGGAACCCCCAAAGAACGGAGCCCCACACUAUCUCCUCUGAAUUCAGCGGCUUAUUCCAGGUCGGUAGAGCAGUUGGGCUCUCCGGUGGAUCCCGAAGGCCCUGGUGGUGGCGCCAUAAGCCGGAAGUUUGCCGCCGCCAGUAAGAGUGGCCCUCUGGGGGCUCGUAAUGGUCGCGGCGGUACUUGGGGAAGUAUAUCCCGGGUCUUUGCUCGAUCCCGAAACAAGAGCAAGGCCCUAUCCGCUGAUGGAGUGACUGAAUAUGCCGACUACUCGUGGAAUCCUUUGACGGAGGAGGGCUACGCCGAGAAGCUGCGUCUGCUGCGCGAGGCCUCCCAGUUGCCCAUCGAUCGCUGGCGUGCCACACAGGUCCUGGCCUGGCUGGAGGUGGCUCUGGGUAUGCCCCAGUAUAGUGCCAGGUGUGCGGAGAAUGUGAAGAGCGGCAAAGUCCUUCUCGAACUAAACGAUGUGGAGUUGGAGGCGGGACUGGGACUGGCCCAUCCCAUGCACCGUAAAAAGCUACGGCUGGCCAUCGAGGAGCAGCGGCGACCGGAACUGGUCCGAUAUCCGCUAAUCACGCAACUGGGACACACCUGGGUGGCCUCCGAGUGGCUGCCGGACAUCGGGCUGCCCCAGUAUGCGGAGCCGUUCGUCCAGUCCCUGGUCGAUGCCCGAAUGCUGGACACGCUCUCCAAGAAGGAGCUGGAGAAGUUCUUGGGCGUCACACGGAAGUUCCAUCAGGCCAGCAUUGUGCAUGGCAUCCACGUGUUGCGCAUCGUCAAGUACGACAGACAGACGCUGGCCAUGCGCCGAGUGCAAUCGGAGACGGUGGACACGGACCCCAUUGUUUGGACUAACCAGCGAUUCAUCCGCUGGGUGCGAUCCAUCGACCUGGGCGAGUACGCCGACAAUUUGAAGGACAGCGGAGUGCACGGCGGGCUGGUGGUGUUGGAGCCAUCCUUUUCCGGUGACACCAUGGCCACGGCAUUGGGUAUUCCCCCCUCGAAGAACAUAAUACGGCGACAUCUAAACACGGAAUUUGAUGCGCUUAUUUUGCCUGCACGAUACAUUAUUUACUGUCAAAUGGAAGAAUUUCAAAUGGAAGCCUCCAGACAAUUGGCCAAAUUGCAGGGCCAUUAAAUCCGCAUGAACCACAAAAAAUACAAAGAGAAAAAAAUACAUAAAAAAUCAAAAAAAACUUUAAAUGGGAUUCAUACUGAUUUGUUUAGCCAAGCUGAUGAUGAUGAUACGAUAAUAACUUUAGGGAGAGAACAAUAACUGGAGCACAGCGCUAGUCAUUUUGUCAUUACGAGUAGUUGAUAGUUGAUUCACGGCAGAAUAAUCACGACUCGAUUAGCAAUCAUACAUUAUAUUAUUAAGUGCUUUAGGCAUCGAAUAUAGGAAAGCACGCAAUUAAACAGAAAAAUAUAAAACAAAAAACCAUGUGUCCAAGCUUUGCAUAUCCGAAAUAUCGAAAUGAACUCCCCGAGGAGCGCUUAACGUUGCAUUUAAUUAGGUUGAUUUACAAGUCAAGCAUUUAAUGUAGUUAAAAAAGAAAACAAAACCGCAUAAUUAAGACUUUUUCGUCAAUGUAAUCGAUAUAUACAAGAUAGUCAAGUUUUUUGCAUUAAAAAUGCCAUUGUACACCGUUUCAAAGACACACAAUUAGGCGGCUUUCGUUACUAGCCCCGGUACACACUAGGUCACUGUGAUACAGGGAGCCCUCCCUGUUUACUAAGCUCGGUUAGACAGGCCACCAACGCACAAUUGAACCUUAAAGACCAAUUACAUGACCACACAUUCACAAACACAUAUACAUAUACAUAUACAUAGACACGAGCAUACACAUACAUCUACAUACAUUGCCGUGGUUAAUUAAUUUACUCCAUGUUUGUUGUUGCAUACUGUGAGGCGCUUUAAGUGAGUUGGUUCUGCGGUCUCUAAAGUUUCACAAAAAUUAAAAACACACACAAAACAUUGUAUGGAUAGUUGUGGAAAACUUUAACAAAUUUAAACGAAAAGUUUAGGCGUCCAAAGUCCAAAGAAUAAAAAGUGAAGAUAAUCUGGAUAUUUUAGUUAGUUGAAUUGCAUUUAAGAAAUAAUAGCAUACAUUUGAGCGCUUGCCUAAACGACCGCAGGACUCUCUCCCAUAAGUCAAUAAGUUUUCUCUAAGAAGUCGUUAUUUUGGUUUUUGCAAUUUUGCAACUACAGUGUCAAUUAGCGACUCUGGGUCAAGGCAUCCGUUCCGGUUGCGGCGUAGUGCCACUGACAGGACCCGGCGGAUUGCAGCACUAUGCCACAACAGAUCG
rnacentral:misc_RNA from 1 species